GUAGGUGGCAAGCGUUGUCCGGAAUUAUUGGGCGUAAAGCGCGCGCAGGCGGUUCUUUGAGUCUGAUGUGAAAGCCCACGGGCUCAACCGUGGAGGGUCAUUGGAAACUGGGGAACUUGAGUACAGAAGAGGAAAGCGGAAUUCCACGUGUAGCGGUGAAAUGCGUAGAGAUGUGGAGGAACACCAGUGGCGAAGGCGGCUUUCUGGUCUGUAACUGACGCUGAGGCGCGAAAGCGUGGGGAGCAAACAGGAUUAGAUACCCUGGUAGUCCACGCCGUAAACGAUGAGUGCUAAGUGUUAGGGGGUUUCCGCCCCUUAGUGCUGCAGCUAACGCAUUAAGCACUCCGCCUGGGGAGUACGGCCGCAAGGCUG
rnacentral:rRNA from 1 species